AUGCACUGGGGGCCAAGCCCCGGAUUCCGCACCAUACCUGGGGUCCUGGAAUUUCCUGCUCCACACCGGGAGCCUCCAUCAGAGCUUGCUUGGGGCCCUCAUCUGCAUCUACCUUCCUUUCCAAGGACAGCAGACUUCACUGCUGCCACUGCUACAGUGAGCAGUUCUAUCCAACCAGCUUCACGUAGCAGCACGCUGAGCAUGCCUCUUCUCACUGCCCGUCCCUGGAUUCUCAGAUGCAGUGGCUGGCUGGGGUGUGCCAUGUGAGUCCUAUGAAGGAACCGUCUUCCACUGGGGAUGGGAGCUCUCGAAUCAAUGCUUCCCCUGUUCUCCUCACCCCACAGUUCUGAGACACACUCCAGAGAGCUUGCAAAAGCUGCUGUGAUGGUCAGGCAUGGCGGCUCAUGCCUGUAAUCCCAGCACUUUAGGAGUCCAAGGCGGGCAGAUCUCCUGAGGUCAGGAGUUCGGAAUCAGUCUGACCAACAUGGAGAAGCCCUGUCUCUACUAAAAAUACAAAAUUAGCCGGGCAUGGUGGUGCAUGCCUGUAAUCCUAGCUACUCAGGAGGCUGGGGCAAGAGAAUCACUUGAACCUGGGAGGCAGAGGUUGCAGUAAGCCGAGAUCACACCCUUGCACUCUAGCCUGGGCAACAAGAGCAAAACCCCGUCUCUCUCUCUCUCUCUCUCUUUCUCUCUCUCUCUCUCUCUCUCUCACACACACACACACACACACACACACACAAGGCUGCUGUGGGACCCAGCAAUCACUUGUAGGCAUGGCUGCCUAGAUUGAAUUGGAUUUUCUCCCCAGCCUCCUACCCCAUCCACUCUCCACCAACCCUGCUUCCUGCUCCCUGUGGUCCCAUUCCCAACUAAACCACUCACGCAUAAACCUUGAACCUAUGCUUUUCUUUGGGGGAACCCAGGCUAAGAACAGGAUCCUCCAAUUCUUUGGUGCACCAUAGUGGAAACUCACAUGCCGCUCUGCCCACAGUAGCAGCAUCACAUCCUCACGACUCACCCUUGUGUUGAAUAGCUAGUAUCUCCUUUGACCUUUUUAACUUUUUUUUUUUCCUGAGGCAGAGUCUCACUCUGUUUCACUCAGGCUGGAGUGCAGUGGCGCAUGAUCUUGGCUCACUGCAACCUCUGCCUCCCGGGUUCAAACGAUUCUCCUGUCUCAGCUCCUGAGUAGCUGGGACCACAAGCAUGUGCCACCAUACCAGGAUAAUUUUGUAUUUUUAGUAGAGACAGGGUUUCACCAUGUUGGCCAGGCUGGUCUCAAACUCCUGGCCGCAGGUGAUUCUCCUGCCUCAGCCUCCCAAAGUGCUGGGAUUACAGGCAUGAGCCACUGCACCCAGCAUCCUUUUUAAUUUUUAAAAACAAGUGUGUAGUACUGACUCAGUCCCAUAUACUCAGCAGUAUUUUAAGCCAGUAGAGUGGUAAUUUAGGAUACUGGUAAGAGCAGAGAAUUUAGAAUCAUAAGAUCUAGAUUUGAUCCUUGCUACCAACUGGAUGAAUGACCAAGGGUAGGACAUACAGCUCUUGGAGUCUUCAGUAUCUUCAUCUGUAAGACAGGUGUGUUAGUAGCUAUCGACCUUCAGUGUUCUUGUAUCAAGGAGGACCGAGUGUGUGUGAUGAGCAGUUGCUAAUUUCAGCACUCAGCUUCCAUUUCCCCUUCCUGUUGGUUAUGCGAUCCCGAUUUUUGUUUGGAUGGCUAUCACCUUUCCCCAGUGCAUCCUACGUUUUACCACCAUUCUCCUCUCGACCCCCAGCUUUAGGGUAGGCCCUAAUGGUCUCAGUCUAAAGGAACUAUUCAUCAUUUCCCUAGCUAUGAUGAUUUUAAAAAGCAAUGAGAAAUGUACUGACAGAUCUGGUCACCAUUCUGAAAGAGCAAUCAACUAAGAGAGCAUGCAGCUCUGACAAUUGCUGGAAAUCAUCGUGUGGCCCUAAGGAGUGCGAGCCUAAAGAUGCAGCAGAAAGAGGGAUGGUGAGAUUACUGAACUUUUGAGUCAAGUCACAUCCAAAGCUCAUGUGACCUCUGAUCUUUUCAAAUAAAUGAGUUAUUAAAUAUUUUAUUUAAACCA
rnacentral:lncRNA from 13 species